UUCAGUAUUCUUCUUUUGAUGAUUGUUGGUGUUUCCUAGGUCUUCCUAGAAAACAAGUGUCAAUACUAUCGAAUUAUCGGUUCAGGUAUAAGGUAUCUGUGUUCUCAAUUUUUCAAAGCUCUAGUGUCAAUUGCAUAUGCUAUCAUUUAAUACCUGAAAUUUCCAUCCAUGGGUUGUCUUAAAAUUGAGAUCAGUAUACCGGGUUACAAUUUCGACCCAUUUACUUACGAAUUAGAGGAUUCUGGUUGUUUUUAUUUCUAAUAGUGACAUGUGUGAAUAACAAUGCGAUGGCUAAAUGUGUUGAAUAGGUGAAAGUCACUCUGCAUUUUAUAUGCUCAAAAUGGUCAAAAGCUCUUUUUGAAGAAAAUCUGACAAGAGAUGUCCGGUUUCUGUUGGAAAUGAACAGUUGGGAAACAUCAAAGUCCAAGUUACAUUCCUAAGACAAACCAACUAACAGUACCAGAUACUAAUGCUCUAAAAAGAAUGUUUUUGUUGCAAAAAGCCGAGGAUAGUAACUAGAGCAGAUAAUCGAUCAUUAAAUACCGUGGGUUGUGGUUAGUUUUAACAGUUCUUUUGAGAGUUGGUGAAAGUUAAGCUUUUACAGUUGUCAUGGUUUGAAGUCUUGAACUUUGUCAUAUAUACUAUGAUCAUAUGUGGCUAUUCAUCA